UUUUAAUUUGAAUCUAAUUCCUAAUCCCAGUUUAAAUCAAACUCUAAAAAAAAGCUUCAAUAAACCAAAACUCACGAAAUUAAAUUUGAAAAGGAUCACGCAUAAGGAAUUAUAGAAGAAAAGAAAUCGUAGAAGGUUAGGAGAAUCAAGGUUGUCCGACAAUCAUAACCUAGGCAAAGGUGGGAAUAUAAAAAAGGGAAGAAGGAAAAUAGGAAGAAGAAAAGCUUGAGAAGAAGGAAA
rnacentral:lncRNA from 1 species